rnacentral:rRNA from 1 species
UACGGGGGGGGGCAAGCGUUGUUCGGAAUUACUGGGCGUAAAGGGCUCGUAGGCGGCCAACUAAGUCAGACGUGAAAUCCCUCGGCUUAACCGGGGAACUGCGUCUGAUACUGGAUGGCUUGAGUUUGGGAGAGGGAUGCGGAAUUCCAGGUGUAGCGGUGAAAUGCGUAGAUAUCAGGAGGAACACCAAUGGCGAAGGCAGCACUCUGGGACGUGACUGACGCUGAGACGCGAAAGCGUGGGGAGCAAACAGG